GACGAACGCUGGCGGCGUGCUUAACACAUGCAAGUCGAACGGAAAGGCCCUGCUUUUGUGGGGUGCUCGAGUGGCGAACGGGUGAGUAACACGUGAGUAACCUGCCCUUGACUUUGGGAUAACUUCAGGAAACUGGGGCUAAUACCGGAUAGGAGCUCCUGCUGCAUGGUGGGGGUUGGAAAGUUUCGGCGGUUGGGGAUGGACUCGCGGCUUAUCAGCUUGUUGGUGGGGUAGUGGCUUACCAAGGCUUUGACGGGUAGCCGGCCUGAGAGGGUGACCGGCCACAUUGGGACUGAGAUACGGCCCAGACUCCUACGGGAGGCAGCAGUGGGGAAUAUUGCACAAUGGGCGGAAGCCUGAUGCAGCAACGCCGCGUGCGGGAUGACGGCCUUCGGGUUGUAAACCGCUUUCGCCUGUGACGAAGCGUGAGUGACGGUAAUGGGUAAAGAAGCACCGGCUAACUACGUGCCAGCAGCCGCGGUGAUACGUAGGGUGCGAGCGUUGUCCGGAUUUAUUGGGCGUAAAGGGCUCGUAGGUGGUUGAUCGCGUCGGAAGUGUAAUCUUGGGGCUUAACCCUGAGCGUGCUUUCGAUACGGGUUGACUUGAGGAAGGUAGGGGAGAAUGGAAUUCCUGGUGGAGCGGUGGAAUGCGCAGAUAUCAGGAGGAACACCAGUGGCGAAGGCGGUUCUCUGGGCCUUUCCUGACGCUGAGGAGCGAAAGCGUGGGGAGCGAACAGGCUUAGAUACCCUGGUAGUCCACGCUGUAAACGGUGGGUACUAGGUGUGGGGUCCAUUCCACGGGUUCCGUGCCGUAGCUAACGCUUUAAGUACCCCGCCUGGGGAGUACGGCCGCAAGGCUAAAACUCAAAGGAAUUGACGGGGCCCCGCACAAGCGGCGGAGCAUGCGGAUUAAUUCGAUGCAACGCGUAGAACCUUACCUGGGUUUGACAUGGAUCGGGAGUGCUCAGAGAUGGGUGUGCCUCUUUUGGGGUCGGUUCACAGGUGGUGCAUGCCUGUCGUCAGCUCGUGUCGUGAGAUGUUGGGUUAAGUCCCGCAACGAGCGCAACCCUUGUUCACUGUUGCCAGCACGUUAUGGUGGGGACUCAGUGGAGACCGCCGGGGUCAACUCGGAGGAAGGUGGGGAUGACGUCAAGUCAUCAUGCCCCUUAUGUCCAGGGCUUCACGCAUGCUACAAUGGCUGGUACAGAGAGUGGCGAGCCUGUGAGGGUGAGCGAAUCUCGGAAAGCCGGUCUCAGUUCGGAUUGGGGUCAGCAACUCGACCUCAUGAAGUCGGAGUCGCUAGUAAUCGCAGAUCAGCAACGCUGCGGUGAAUACGUUCCCGGGGCC
rnacentral:rRNA from 1 species